UCCGGUUUGACACCGGCAGUCUCUCAUGAGUCCCCGACAUUACUCGCUGGCAACAUAAGAUAGGGGUUGCGCUCGUUGCGGGACUUGACCCAACACCUCACGGCACGAGCUGACGACAGCCAUGCAGCAUCUGUGCACGCUCCCUUGCGGGUCCCGUCCCUUUCGGGUUGGUACCACGUGCAUGUCAAGCCUAGGUAAGGUUCUGCGCGUUGCAUCGAAUUAAACCACAUGCUCCACCGCUUGUGCGGGCCCCCGUCAAUUCCUUUGAGUUUCAGUCUUGCGACCGUACUCCGCAGGCGGCGAACUUAACGCGUUAGCUUCGAUACUGCGUGCCAAAUUGCACCCAACAUCCAGUUCGCAUCGUUUAGGGCGUGGACUAC
rnacentral:misc_RNA from 1 species